UACGAAGGGGGCUAGCGUUGCUCGGAAUCACUGGGCGUAAAGCGCACGUAGGCGGCUUCUUAAGUCAGGGGUGAAAUCCUGGAGUUCAACUCCAGAACUGCCUUUGAUACUGGCGGUCUCGAGUCCGGGAGGGGUGAGUGGAACUGCGAGUGUAGAGGUGAAAUUCGUAGAUAUUCGCAAGAACACCAGUGGCGAAGGCGGCUCACUGGCCCGGUACUGACGCUGAGGUGCGAAAGCGUGGGGAGCAAACGGG
rnacentral:rRNA from 1 species